UACGUAGGGUGCGAGCGUUACUCGGAAUUACUGGGCGUAAAGUGUGCGCAGGCGGUUUCGUAAGUCAAGUGUGAAAGCCCCGGGCUUAACCUGGGAACUGCGCUUGAAACUACGGAACUCGAGUGUGGCAGAGGAAGGUGGAAUUCCACGUGUAGCGGUGAAAUGCGUAGAGAUGUGGAGGAACACCGAUGGCGAAGGCAGCCUUCUGGGCCAACACUGACGCUCAUGCACGAAAGCGUGGGGAGCAAACAGG
rnacentral:rRNA from 1 species